ensembl:snoRNA
CCUGCCCCUCGAGGCGUUGCAGCUCAACUGUGAGUGUUGCAGCUGUGUCAGGAGGCGGCAGAGAGAGACAGGUGGUGGUCUGCACUGAGACUCUACGACACACUGAGGACUCAGAGUGAUCAUCACCACCCACA